rnacentral:rRNA from 1 species
UGGGGGAAUAUUGCACAAUGGGCGCAAGCCUGAUGCAGCCAUGCCGCGUGUGUGAAAGAAGGCCUUCGGGUUGUAAAGCACUUUCAGUCGGAGGAGGAAGGUGGUGAGCUUAAUACGCUCAUCAAUUGACGUUACUCGCAGAAGAAGCACCGGCUAACUCCGUGCCAGCAGCCGCGGUAAUACGGAGGGUGCAAGCGUUAAUCGGAAUUACUGGGCGUAAAGCGCACGCAGGCGGUUUGUUAAGUCAGAUGUGAAAUCCCCGGGCUCAACCUGGGAACUGCAUUUGAAACUGGCAAGCUAGAGUCUCGUAGAGGGGGGUAGAAUUCCAGGUGUAGCGGUGAAAUGCGUAGAGAUCUGGAGGAAUACCGGUGGCGAAGGCGGCCCCCUGGACGAAGACUGACGCUCAGGUGCG